CCUCUCACGCCAUUACAGAUUGCAGAAAUGAUGCAUACCAAUCACAAUUAUAAUGGCUUCUGCAAUCAUUUAUGCUCAAGAUUCAUAACGAAUAGUUGCAGAAAACAAAUAAGGGAAUCAGAGAUGGAGGAGUUUGCCAAAUCAUUGAAAAAGGUCUUCAAGCAAGGCAUCAUUAAACAGCCCAUGAGCUGGUAGUUACGACCCGGCCCGCCGGUUUGACAGUGUGUCUCGGGCCGGGUCCGGCUCAGCCAGUCACCCUAGACUCUCUUGGCCCGCCGAGUUCCAGGCCCAAUUAACAGGCCCGCGCCCCCGCAAAUAGCUACAUCAUCAUCGUCGUCAUCAUCGACAUCCAUCGAUUCUCCAACGCGCAUCCUCAAGCUCAUCGCCGCCCGGCGCGCCACCCUCUCCCACUCCAUCCUCAUCCAAGCCUCCUCCCGUUCCGGCCGCAUCUCCCUCGCCUACUCCCUCUUCAACCGCAUCUUCUCUCUCCAGACCUACCGAUCUCUCAUGCAAUCCCCUCUGCCGCAAGAAAAUGGGCUUGUGAAGGGGUUUUGCGAUGUGGAUAAGGUGGAAGAGGCACGUAUGUGAAUACAUGGAUGAUGGUUUUGGUGAGAGUUUGCUGCAGUGAUGAUGGAGAUGUGUUGAAGCUGAUGGUUUUUGAAGAUUGUUGAUGAAGAGGAAUGGAGAAGAAGGACAAAGCUUGUGCAUUUGGGGACUGGUUUGGAGUAUUUUUACUUAAUUGAAAGAAUUGAGUAGAAAGAUGCAAUUAUAUUAUUUGAAAUUCCUGCUGGAUGAUAUUGUGGAUUCUGAUGAUCUGCCUCAAUGAACAAGCGUCAACAAUCACAAUUAAGGAGCUGAUGGGGGUCCUCUUUCACCAUCUCCAGCAUCACCUGAAGAAAAUCUUUCGUCUUCUUUUGAUCACCACUUGCUUCCAGAGUUCCCUUCCUCUGCUCGAUGAUCAUGUUCAGAAGUCUGUCAAGCCUUUC